UACGUAGGGUGCAAGCGUUGUCCGGAAUUAUUGGGCGUAAAGAGCUCGUAGGCGGUCUGUCGCGUCUGCUGUGAAAACUCAGGGCUUAACCCUGAGCUUGCAGUGGGUACGGGCAGACUAGAGUGCGGUAGGGGAGACUGGAAUUCCUGGUGUAGCGGUGAAAUGCGCAGAUAUCAGGAGGAACACCGGUGGCGAAGGCGGAUCUCUGGGCCAUUACUGACGCUGGAGGAGCGAAAAGCGUGGGGAGCAAACAGG
rnacentral:rRNA from 1 species